rnacentral:rRNA from 1 species
UGGGGAAUCUUCCGCAAUGGACGAAAGUCUGACGGAGCAACGCCGCGUGUAUGAUGAAGGUCUUCGGAUUGUAAAGUACUGUCAUUGGGGAAGAACGGUUUUCUUGAAAAGAUUGAGAAGACAUGACGGUACCCAAGGAGGAAGCCCCGGCUAACUACGUGCCAGCAGCCGCGGUAAUACGUAGGGGGCAAGCGUUGUCCGGAAUUAUUGGGCGUAAAGGGCGCGUAGGCGGGCCUUUAAGUCCGGUGUGAAAGAUCAGGGCUCAACCCUGAGAGUGCAUCGGAAACUGGAGGCCUUGAGGACAGGAGAGGAAAGUGGAAUUCCACGUGUAGCGGUGAAAUGCGUAGAUAUGUGGAGGAACACCAGUGGCGAAGGCGACUUUCUGGACUGUAACUGACGCUGAGGCGCGAAAGCGUGGGGAGCAAAACAGGAUUAGAUACCCUGGUAGUCCACGCCGUAAACGAUGAGUGCUAGGUGUAGAGGGUAUCGACCCCUUCUGUGCCGCAGUUAACACAAUAAGCACUCCCGCCUGGGGAGUACGGCCGC